rnacentral:rRNA from 1 species
UACGUAGGGCGCAAGCGUUGUCCGGAAUUAUUGGGCGUAAAGAGCUCGUAGGCGGUUUGUCGCGUCUGUCGUGAAAGCUUGGGGCUUAACCCCAAGUCUGCGGUGGAUACGGGCAGACUAGAGGCAGGUAGGGGAGAACGGAAUUCCCGGUGUAGCGGUGAAAUGCGCAGAUAUCAGGAGGAACACCGGUGGCGAAGGCGGUUCUCUGGGCCUGUACUGACGCUGAGGAGCGAAAGCGUGGGGAGCGAACAGG